rnacentral:rRNA from 1 species
GUGGACCGCUGGCGGCGUGCCUAAUACAUGCAAGUCGAGCGAACAGACGAGGAGCUUGCUCCUCUGACGUUAGCGGCGGACGGGUGAGUAACACGUGGAUAACCUACCUAUAAGAUUGGGAUAACUUCGGGAAACCGGAGCUAAUACCGGAUAAUAUAUUGAACCGCAUGGUUCAAUAGUGAAAGACGGUUUUGCUGUCACUUAUAGAUGGAUCCGCGCCGCAUUAGCUAGUUGGUAAGGUAACGGCUUACCAAGGCAACGAUGCGUAGCCGACCUGAGAGGGUGAUCGGCCACACUGGAACUGAGACACGGUCCAGACUCCUACGGGAGGCAGCAGUAGGGAAUCUUCCGCAAUGGGCGAAAGCCUGACGGAGCAACGCCGCGUGAGUGAUGAAGGUCUUCGGAUCGUAAAACUCUGUUAUUAGGGAAGAACAAAUGUGUAAGUAACUAUGCACGUCUUGACGGUACCUAAUCAGAAAGCCACGGCUAACUACGUG